rnacentral:rRNA from 1 species
CUUUUCUCGUUAGUUUUUGAAGUAUGGCCUGCCCACUGACGUUUAUAGAGGUUGAAGGGCCGCGGUAUUUUGACCGUGCAAAGGUAGCAUAAUCAUUAGUUCUUUAAUUGUGAUCUGGUAUGAAUGGCUUGACGAGACAUGGGCUGUCUUAAAGGUAUUUUUUAUUGAAUUUGGUUUCUGAGUUAAAAUUCUUAGAUGUUUUUAUGGGACGAGAAGACCCUAUAGAGUUUGACAUUCACUCUUCUUUUGUUUGUGUUUGAUUGGUUUUAUUUAAGUUGGUUGGGUGUUUUGUUGGGGUGAUGGGAGGAAUAAAAUUUAACUCCUCUUUGGUUUUGUAUAUUAAUUUAUAUUUGUUUUGAUCCAUUUAUUUUGAUUAUAAGAUUAAAUUACCUUAGGGAUAACAGCGUUAUCUUCCUUGAGAGUUCUUAUUGGCGGGGGGGUUUGCGACCUCGAUGUUGGAUUAAGGUGAAUUUUCGGUGCAGGAGCUGAAAGUGAUUAGGUCUGUUCGACCUUUAAAAUCUU